UGAGCUUCAAAAAGAAGGGAAAAGGAUUAUUUUCACUAAUGUUGGGAAUCCUCAUGCUCUUGGACAGAAGCCAUUGACUUUUCCACGUCAGGUUGUUGCUCUUUGUCAAGCUCCCUUUCUGUUG